ACUCUUGUAGUUGAAGUACAACGAUGGUUUUUCGAAUCGUUGGUUUUGGUUAGAGUCCAGACAGGAGUA
rnacentral:tRNA from 1 species